rnacentral:rRNA from 2 species
AGGAAGCGAGAAGUGACGCGCCGACCCCCGCAAGGGGGGCGAGGCGUCCGGCCCUCCGCGAGCAUCCGCGUGGGUGUGGGUUACGGACCCCGUCCGAUCCCGUUCCCACCGCGGGGCUGUCCGCGAUCAUGGAGGUGUCCUCGGACGGCGUCGAAUCACUCAAAGUUCUCCAGUCCGCGACGCUACGGCUUGGAUGGUCCACCCGACCCGUCUUGAAACACGGACCAAGGAGUCUAACAUGCGCGCGAGUCGUUGGGUCGGACACGCUCCGCUAAACCCAUAGGCGCAAUGAAAGUGAAGGCCGCCGUUCGGGCGGCCGAGGGAGGACGGGGCCGGCCGGGCGCUCCGGUGCUCGGCGGUCCCCGCACCCCCGGGGCGUCUGAUCCCUCAUCGCGAGGGGAGGCGCACCCAGAGCGCACACGUUGGGACCCGAAAGAUGGUGAACUAUGCCUGGCCAGGACGAAGUCAGGGGAAACCCUGAUGGAGGUCCGUAGCGAUUCUGACGUGCAAAUCGAUCGUCGGAGCUGGGUAUAGGGGCGAAAGACUAAUCGAACCAUCUAGUAGCUGGUUCCCUCCGAAGUUUCCCUCAGGAUAGCUUGCGCUCGGAGGAGAGUCUCAUCCGGUAAAGCGAAUGAUUAGAGGCCUUGGGGCCGAAACGGCUUCAACCUAUUCUCAAACUUUAAAUGGGUGAGAACUCCGGCUUGCUCGACCGAUCGAAGCCGGAGACGGGGCCGUCCCUCGGGGCGGACCCCCGGGAUCGGAGUGCAUAGUGGGCCACUUUUGGUAAGCAGAACUGGCGCUGUGGGAUGAACCAAACGACGGGUUAAGGCGCCCGAAUCGACGCUCAUGGGAAACCAUGAAAGGUGUUGGUUGCUUAAGACAGCAGGACGGUGGCCAUGGAAGUCGGAAUCCGCUAAGGAGUGUGUAAUAACUCACCUGCCGAAGCAACUAGCCCUGAAAAUGGAUGGCGCUGAAGCGUCGUGCCUAUACCCGGCCGUCGCGGCAGGGCGGACCCGGCCUCGCGUCGGGUGCCGCUUGAUGCGGCGACGAGUAGGAGGGUCGCGGCGGCGCGCGCAGAAGGGUCUGGGCUCGAGCCUGCCUGGAGCCGCCGCCGGUGCAGAUCUUGGUGGUAGUAGCAAAUACUCCAGCGAGGCCCUGGAGGACUGAUGUGGAGAAGGGUUUCGUGUGAACAGCCGUUGCACACGAGUCAGUCGAUCCUAAGCCCUAGGAGAAAUCCGACGCCAACGGCGACGGGAGAAAUUUUGAAAGAGAAAGAAACCCGUUGAUCGGGCGAAAGGGAAUCCGGUUCCUAUUCCGGAACCCGGCAGCGGAACCGCUGUUUGUCGGGCCCUCACAAGGGGUUCGUCAGGGUAACCUAAAAGGGCCCGGAGACGCCGUCGGGAGCCCCGGAAAGAGUUUUCUUUUCUGCAUGAGCGUUCGAGUUCCCUG